UUAUUGAAUUUUUUAAAUAUACUGAUUUAAUAAUUGAUUUUAAUAUUGAUUUUGCCCGGCGCCAUCUAUUAAUCACUUACCUUACUAGCUCAGUUAUAAAGUGAAUUCUGCAUGAGAUCUCCUAUCUGUGGAGGUGUGAGAAAAGAUUUCUGAAAUAUCAACUAAACAAACGACACAAAAAUACAGCUAUAUGAAAUGGUUGAUAAAUAACAAAAGACUGUCGAAUAUUGUACACGAAUUUGGAAAUAUAUUGAAAAUAAAGGCUUUGUUAUGCAACAUCAAAAAUACAAGGUUAUCUAGUCGAAAGUCUGAAGGAAGAAAUACGAUGCAAUGAAUUUAACUAUAAAAAAAAAAUAAAAGUAUUUGACAAAAAAUUAAGUCGAAGAUAACCCAAAAUUAUCUUGAAUAUUCAAAAUUUGUUAUACUAAAGCUAGAAAAUGAAAAACAUUGACUUUAGAUCAUGAUCAAUUAAAAAUAUAAACUGUUCAGUACAACCUUUCACGAUGUAAUAUGAAGAUAAACCAAACUGCUAUGAAGUCUCUUCGGAUCCAAGAAGAAACCAACUCCUUCUAUUUCACUGGAACAAUGUUCUAAACAUGGUAGAUACCCGCAUCGGAAUACUUUUUCACUUUUCUUAUAAAGUUGAGGGUCAUUUUUGAAAAUUUUUUCUUCACCAUGAAGAUUAUUUAUACAGAUUAAUGUCUAUUUCAACAUAAUUUCACAAAUCUAUACAUGCAGCUAAAUGAUGCAAGACGUAUCACCUUAACGAAGUUCCUUUCGAAGUGACUUUUGGAAACAUGGAACCUUUUGAUGAUUCUUACGAACAAAUAAGGCUAUUGUAUGAUACAAAUAGAAGUAAUUCUCUGGUAAAACUCAAAAUUCAAAUUAUUAUAUAUUCUAUUUACUAAUUUCUAAUUUAUAUGUCAUUGAAAUAUCAUCUUUGAUAUAGGAUUACCUAUUUUGAUUUCUUAUGUAAUUCUACCUUUAUACACUUAAAUAAAACCAUCUUAUAACUA
rnacentral:lncRNA from 1 species